AAUGUUCUACAACUACUAUAUAUUGUGUGUGUGUGUGUGUGUGUGUAUAUAUAUAUAUAUAUAUAUAUAUACACACACACACACACACAUACAUGGUAUAGGUGUAUAUA
rnacentral:miRNA from 1 species